CCUACGGGGGGCUGCAGUGAGGAAUAUUGGUCAAUGGACGGAAGCCUGAACCAGCCAUGCCGCGUGCAGGAAGACGGCCCUAUGAGUUGUAAACUGCUUUUGUACAAGGGUAAACCUGAAUACGUGUAUUCAGCUGAAAGUACUGUACGAAUAAGGAUCGGCUAACUCCGUGCCAGCAGCCGCGGUAAUACGGAGGAUCCAAGCGUUAUCCGGAUUUAUUGGGUUUAAAGGGUGCGUAGGUGGAUUGGUAAGUUAGAGGUGAAAUGUCCGAGCUUAACUCGGGAACUGCCUCUAAUACUGUUGAUCUAGAGAGUAGAUGCGGUAGGCGGAAUGUAUGGUGUAGCGGUGAAAUGCUUAGAGAUCAUACAGAACACCGAUUGCGAAGGCAGCUUACCAAUCUAUAUCUGACGUUGAGGCACGAAAGCGUGGGGAGCAAACAGGAUUAGAUACCCCAGUAGUC
rnacentral:rRNA from 1 species